AAUGAAAUGUAGGGGGGCCGGUGUUGCCGGUUGAGAUUUCGUUCUUGAAACGAUGACCCUUGGAACCUGAUCUGGUUAAUACCGGCGGAGGGAACAUAUUCUUAAACAAA
rnacentral:ncRNA from 2 species